UACGUAGGGGGCAAGCGUUGUCCGGAUUUAUUGGGCGUAAAGAGCGUGUAGGCGGCCACACAGGUCUGCUGUGAAAACUCGAGGCUCAACCUCGAGCUGUCGGUGGAAACCGUGUGGCUAGAGUCCGGAAGAGGAGAGUGGAAUUCCCGGGUGUAGCGGUGAAAUGCGCAGAUAUCGGGAAGAACACCCGUGGCGAAGGCGGCUCUCUGGGACGGUACUGACGCUGAGACGCGACAGCGUGGGGAUCAAACAGG
rnacentral:rRNA from 1 species